CUGGGAUUACAUGCAUGAGCCGCUGCGCCCAGCUUUUUUAAACUUUUAGGUUCAUUUAAUAGGUAAAUUGUGUGUCAGAGGGGUUUGUAGCUUAUUCUUUCAGAAACUCUUGCAUUAUCUGUAGAUGUGGACGUAAAUAUCCACCUCAUGGGGUUUUCAUUAAAAAAUUGAGAUAAUGUAUGUAAUGUUGCACAGUGCUUUGCAGACUAUCUAAUAAAUAGUAGCUAUUAGUACAAACUUGUUGCUUUUUGGCUAGUUCUGCAGUCACUUUUGGAAUCAGCUUAUGAACCACACAAAAAAUUUGUCAUUAUUCUGUAGUCACUGUUUUUGAUACUGAUGAAAAUUUACAGUAUCCACCUGGAUCAUACCAUCUGGCUCACAAGAUUUGAUCUUGAAUUGUUAGCGCAAUGAACUAGAGCCCCAAAGGAUGAAGGUUUACCUUGUGGGUAUUAAAAAUGCUAGAAGCUUAGAAAGCUGUUUCCAAAGAGAGAUUCCUUGUUACCAACCAUGAUAGCAUUGCUAUGGUGUAUGUGGUCUCCCAGAGUGGCUGCUUUGGGAUGGGAGGUCACUUAGCUAUUAGAAGUUAGGUCUCUUUGUAUUAUACCUUAUAAACAAGGCUCAUUUGGACUUAGGGCUUCCCUUAGGGGUGACACUUAACCUUGCCAAGGAGAUCAUUUCUACCAGUGGGAUCCAUCCAGCAGAUCAGUUCUUAAGUUCAGCUUCAUCAUGUGUACUGCUACACAGUGCAGGCUGACUUCGCAUUCACCAUUCAGAUGCCCUCUCCUAGUUUUAUGUUCUUGGCAGCAAUGAAAAGGACCUCAGAGUUCUCAGGCAAGAUGAUCUUCACUGAGCUAUAUGUUGGAGGAACCCAGAACCAUCAUGGUUUUAGGGUGUAGUUGAAAAUCCUUGCUGUGAAUGGGGUUUGUGACACUGAAAGUUACCCCUUCCCUGGGAAUUUUGUGGGAACCCUUGCCACACAAAUCAAUGGAGCGGUGGGAAGAAGCACCACAAGAUAUGCCUUUUUUUUUUCCUUUAAAAAAUGUUUGAAAACUCCUACUAAUCUGGGUAGGAAAACUUCUGCCACAUCUGAUCAUAAAAUGAGAGUUGCUCAAAAUACUAGUGCAGAUCACUCUGACAUGUGAAAUACAAGACUUCAGGAUUGGUGCUGGAAACUUAAUAAAUACAGUGAACUUGAAAAGCUUAUCCCUAAACUGUAAUCCUCCCAAACAAAACAAAAACAAAGCAAGAAAAAAAAAAACCUUAUUUAAAAUUGUCAAAAGAGGCUGAAUUUUUUGAAGUUACCAAAAUUAUAUCUUUAGACCUUUCUUCUGAUUUGGUAUUUUAUGUAUUUUAGCAGUUACCUGAUUCUGAUUUAAAGGAGCAAUUUUAUUUCUUCUUUUCUAACUCAUUUACCCAAUGAGUUUGUGUGACUAUAGAGAAAAGUAGGCUGUGUGGUUUUUCUAGUUGUCUAUACACGUUGCCUCAUAGAGCAUAUGUACACAUGUGUAAUGUUUUCAUUUCCACUAAGCCGUUCACUCCCUAGAUACUAUGCUGGUGUUUGUUUUUCUGCUGAGGUCUCCCACAUUUUUAAUGCCUUUCUGAGUUACUCCUCCUGAAGGAACGUUAUAUAUUGUACUGGAAGCAAAUGAGGCUUUUCUUAAACUUCCAGUCUUGGGUUUUGCAUGUAGCAUUUCAAUUACUUACAGAUGAAUUAGUUCUUUUUUUCCCUAUUGACUAUUAGGGCUUUGCCUUAUGGAAAGGAAUAGGGUGGUGAAGGGAAAAUAUUUUGAGAUCUUGCCUGGUCUUAAUAGGGAGUUUGUGACACUUAGAUUUUCAAGUGUUCAGUUUAUACCUUUCCCAAAUCUGGUUGCAGUGUAUUUAGUCAAGCAUUGAAGACCUAACAUAUGGCAUGUUUUGCAAGGCACAGGAAAGAAAAAUAAACUGAGAACAGCGAGACCUUCUGGAAAUUCCCAGAGUGGGACGCUGCAAACCCUGGGUCCUGGGCCUGCCUGAAUCACAGCCUCAGUGGGAGGAUCUUAUGAAAGGGCUGCGAGAACAAGUUUGGCUCCCAUGAAAAAAAAAUUGCUCUGCCUUUUCCCAUGGUACCGUAGAAACUGCAAGUAUAAUGACGAUAUGGAGAGCAGGGACAGAAAGCAAGGGGAGACAUUUAUGAUUCCUCAAGCUCUUAAGUCCUGCUACACAUGUUUUACUCUUAAAGACCUCCUUCCCUACACUGUCAGCAUGUUACUUUUUCUCCUCUCUUCCAAAUUCAUCAAAAGCUCAUUUCAUCUCUAUAGUACCCUGGCUACCUCCUGGCGAGCUCAUAGACAACUGACAACCAAAGGCCUUCAGAAUUCUCUCUGUUGUAGCCACUUCACCUUGUAGAACUUUUCUUCCUUUUCUUCCUCUCAACUGACUGAGAGCUUACAAACCCAGUCUGUGCAGACUGCAUCAAUUAAUGCUUGUUUCAGAGCCCCAAGGCCUCCAGGAACUCUUUAAUUGUUCCCUCUGGUAACACAUUAAACCUCACUCAUUGGACAGAGGCAGGGGAGGAAGAGCAGUUAGUUGAGUGGAAAUGGUACAUUAUAUAAAGAAAUAGAGUUUUACUUAACAUGUUAUCCAAAUAGUACUGGUAGGUAAAGUGAAAUAAUUUUUUUUUCUUUUUGAGACAGAGUUGCGU